ACAUGUUAGCCUUUUUUCCUCUGCGACACAUGUCUUCUAUUCCACUUCAUUUUGAUGUUUCUAAUUCUUUCUUGGUUCUUCCGUGCAUUAUUGCUCUGUAAAUUUCCUUUUGCUUUCAUUUUUUGUCCUUCCUUAAACAAUGGAACAAGGAUAGCUAAACAAGACAUAUAUUGCAUGCCUGUCUUUACUGGUAAGUUUUCAUAUGAUCUUAUUUCUAUUUAAAUGCACCUUGUUAUUGUUAAUGAGAUUUUAAUGGGUAUCUGAUACUUCCUCUAUUAUUUUGGAAUUUUCGCUUGAUUUUCACACUCAUGGCGUUAAUUGUAUCAGAUUUGCACACUUAUGCACCGAGAGUGUUUGAUAAUAUGCCAAAGCCACUGAUUUUCAACUUUUUCUCAUUUGCUUGCCUUAUGUUAGAUUUUUUUUUCUUUCUUUUUAAAUAUAAUUUCUCACAGAAAAAUGAGAAGUUGAUAUUAAAACCUCUGCAAGAUAAUCUUAAAAGCGCCUGGUAUUAGAGAUUAUUUUUCGUAGUUAUAGCUAUAAGUUUAUCAUAGUACAUUGACAUGUAGUAAGAUUUCUCCAUGAAUUUAGUUGUUUCCUCUGUAUUAGCGUUAGGUAUUCUGGCUUACGUACCUUUGUGUAACAUCAGGUUCAUAUAAAUGACUUUUAGUACUACUGCAUUGUGCAAAUUCAAAGUAUUUGAUCAUAUAAGUGAAAUCACUAACUAUAUUUUAUUUUAUUUCUUUUUCAGCAUAUUCUCCACAACAUUCUGAUCUAUCAUUUAACAACUCAAAUGCUACAUUGUUAAGUUCUUAUUAGUUGUAUCAUAUAAUUUUCAUAUAUGCCAUUUGUUGCCAUUUGCAUUUCCAUUAGAAUAUGUCUACUAUCUACGUAACUUUAUUUGUGUUAAAAGGAGAAUUAAAUAUACCAUAUUGUUUUUAGGAUUUAUAUCAACUUACAGAUAUUAAUUUUGUAAAAUUGUAAACAACUUGUAAUACUUGCAACAUGUGUAUCCGGAAACGAGGAUACUAUAGAUUUGCUGCGUAGACCUUAAAAGAUUGAGGAACAUUGAAUUGUUAAUCGAAAUUUGUGACGUCGUGGUAGAUAUGCACAACUGUCUCUGAGAGAAAAUAAUUAUUUUUGUCCCAUCUACCAAUUAAAAGAGUUGGAUAAAAAAGGGCAAACACCAUCAAUAUUCAAAUAAUACACUUCCCUGAUGUAUAAAUCGGGGUAGAAGGCUUUGGGUUUGAGAUCCGAAUUUAAUAACAAUAGAAUACAUUCAAGUGGAAGUGGUAGAGAUGCGGGCUGAGAUGUCAAGCUGAAAAAUAGUAAAUUUUUCAGGUUAUCAAAAGAUUUGAGUGGUAAGUUUUAAAAGUUAUUUCGAUGUUUAAAUCAUAUAAACUAGAUUAAACUUUUUGCUAUAAUGUUGGGGAACUUGAGACUGGUUUGAUUAUUGACUCCAUAUUGUGAAGCAAAUAAAGAAUUUGUCACAGUUCGCCUCUCUUUAUUGAUGUACUUCAAUACUCAGUUACAUGCUUCUUAUUGUUGGAGAAAGUUUGUUUAGCUAACAUUCUAUUUUGAUUUUAUAAGAAAUGUGUUAGUCUGGUAUAGCGAAGAUAAGAUCCUUUCUUUAUGGCACUUCAAAUAUGUUAUGAAGAGAUAAGGAGUCUUUACAGAUAUAUCAAACAACUUUUGCCGUGCAUACUUGCCAGACCAUAAUUGUUAGUAUAACAAUUGAGAAAGUCAAAGGAAGAUGUUACAUGUGAAAUGCCUUACUUCCAUGAGAAAACAAAAAGAUUGUAAAGUGGAAGAAAGAAGUAUGCAUAAAGUUUAUGUGAACUGUAACUCUUUAAGUACUACUUUCUAUCAAUGUAUCUCUUCUCACGUUACUGCAACUUUCAGAUUUGAUAAAGUUAUAUGUGCCUUUAGCUUUGACCAGAUUUUUGUGUUAUUCAUGUGUUACAGCUUCUCUUUUUUCCUCUAAUGCUUGAAUUUUUCUUUCUUUUGCCUAUGCAGUUUGUUACCUCAUUAUUUUAAUAUAUUUUUAUACAAUGGAAAACAAGAUUCUUAAGGGGUUUUACACCGUCCAUGCAUUCUGGGAGCCAAAUUACAUUAAAUUGAAAAAUUCUCAAAUGCGCUAAAAACUUUGGAUCCAAAAUUGCACAUAUAAGUGUUAUAGUUUUGUAUAGUGAAAAAGGCGAAUAACUUGGUAAAGGAUUCUCUUUCAUUAGGUUGAGUUAUAGAUAGUUGGUCUGAUAAAUUCAGGGUUCACACAUAGUUAUUAUAAAGGUUAUAAUUGCUUAGGGUGCAUCAGUUUUCGAGAUUGAUAAAAAUGAGAACUUGGACCAACAAUUAAGGCAUAAUUUAUGAUCAAUAAAUAUUUGAUACAUGCCCUUUAUAGAUUCAUAAUACACAUAGAGUACCAUUGCUCGCAGCUGAUAAGAAUAUUGCACUUCAGUCCACUUUUGUUGUUCAUAACAAGUUAGAACUUUCUGUUUUUGUAGUAGAAACUCCUUUUCAUGUUGUAGUAUAGCCUUUUGGUUGCCUACUAACCAGAAUUUAAUUGUUUGAUGUUUGACUAAUAGAAUUGAGAAAGAAGGGGAAAAUCUUAGUGUGCUCAGCUGGACAAUGUAACAUCUGAGGACUACUUUGCAAUCCUUUUGUUUAUCUAUUUAAGAUAUAAAACUCAAUAGCUUUUCAAUAGCAUUUCUGAGUUCCUUUCAAGGG
rnacentral:lncRNA from 1 species